UUCAGCCCCAAAUGGAGUUGCGUCAGCAAUUUUGAAUAGGGUAGUAAAAGCAAAUCGGUCAAGGGCACCGUCUCUCAACACUGCACCAAAAGGGUUUUGUUUCGAUGUCUGGAGUUUGUGCUCAGAAGCUUUCGGAAUAGACACCACUUCACAGGAGUUCUGCUCGUUGGGAUGUGCUCCCAUUGUAAAUCCCCGAAUAUAUCCAAAAUGUUAAAGCAGAUGCUGUCCGUCCUGCUGAAAGAGAACGCUGGAAAAACUUGGCAGAUCAGAGGAGAGAGAAAAAUUGAGAGAAUGUUACAUGUUGAGGGUCUUCUAUCAGAACUGGCCAGAUCUUACAAAGAGGAGAAGCUGGUGGAGUGAUUUCAGGAAGAAGAACAUUCUUUAAGCGGAGAAUAUUGAGCAAUUUUUGUUUUUAUUUCAGAUUUCCAUCAUCUCUACACUUUGCUCUUCCCUCUCGAAGUUCUGCCCACCAUGGUAGCAUUCACAGGACUGAGGCUGGCCUCUGAGCCCUGGAUCAUGCGAGCUGUAACACGUUUAUCUACUUCCACCCAUCAUAUGAACUUAAGGCAGCAUUUCAAUAGAUUAAUGAUCCAUCGAUGCUCUAAGACCAGAGACAGAUUCCAACACAAAACAAGGUCUUUCAGUUUCUUCAUUCAUCACUACCAACACUGGUCCUUAUACUAACAUUAUAAGGGGAAAUGGUCCAUAUCGUGACUUUCCAUAAUGUGAAGGUGCAUUAUUUGCACAGGCAUCAAAAGAGCAAGUUGAAAAUAUAUUUGUUUAUUUAUUUCCACUUAACUUUGUGAGAGUAAAUUGUAUUCUGUUUUGGGUAAGUGAUUUAUGAGUUCUGUAAGGGUGAAUUUCCAUUAUCCAAGAUACUAUAAAAUGGGGGGUUGGAGUGGGGUGUUGCAUGGGCAC